rnacentral:lncRNA from 1 species
GAUUAUCCUGUGGUUCAUUGUGGCUUGGAUCAAUUUGUAUUAAUAUGGAAACUUUAAAUCUUUGAUGCACUGUUGAUUUCUAAUGCUACUGUAGCAAUAUUUUUUGCAAAGUUCAUAACCUCCUCGUCUGUACACUUUAUUAUUCUCAAGUAUGUGUCUAAUACUCAAAUUCAUUCACUCCCUUUCCAACUGCUUAGUUGGAAAUACAUUUUUGCUUUGCUUGGUUAGUGAUACUCCAGGCUUGACAUUUUUGAGCCCAAAUUGAUGCAAGCCAAAUCUUCCCAAAUUUAGAAAAGAGAGAGAGAAAACAACUCUGUUCUUAGUACACUUAAAGUUGAGUCCAGAUAUUUCCAAAAUGAUUCUUAAGAUUGCUGCUUUCUUGGGGUUUUUUAGGAAACUUUGAAAUCUUUUGUUACUAUUGAAAAGGUAAAAUCGUGUGGUAGUCCGAAUGUUUUUCACAUUUUGAGAUGUGACCAGUGUACAAGAAUUUUCACAGCGUGCUAAGAUGGGUGUGAGGUAUGUAUUUGUUGUUCCCUAUCAGCUGUUGGUGUUCUCCUUCCCUCAGAGCAAGUGGUAAAAGUUACAUCGCUUACAGGAUCAGAUCUCAGCAGCCAAUGCAUUUAUUUUAAAGAUUUUUUUUUUUUUUUUUUAACAACAGCAAACAGCUGAAUUUCAGGAUCCAAAAUAACUGGGAACGCCCAGUGGAAAUUACUGUGAUACCCAAUUCCAUCGUUUCAUAAAAAAACCUCAUUCUUAAAACUAAUUAAAUUAUUUUGUAGCAUCACAAAGCAGAGUAUGGAUAUCAUCUGCUCCAGUGAUAAAAGGUGAUCAGGAGAAAUGUGGGUAUAGGGAAGAGCUUCUGUUCCAUUUUGAAUUGAGCAAAUGAUUCUGAGUUUGUUUUAGAAAAGGGCAUAUGCAACAUCCUUUAAAUUUUCAUUCUUUAAGUACAGCUUAUGAAAACUUUUGAUUUGUGUUCUGUGCUUUUAGUUCAAGUACAUCUUUCCUCUGUUUUGUCGAAAAGUUUUGCAUAGCUCGAAGCUUCUUAUUCAUUUGGUUUGUUUACAACAUCACUGUAGCAUUUUAGCUAACUAUAAAUUCAAAAUUAUUCAUGCUAUUAAAUGCUCUGGUUGUACUGGAAUUACUUAAGUGAGGUUCUAGCAUAACUGCCAGAAUAGCAAUGACAACGCUUCACAAGGAUGAGAAAACAAUCGACAGAUUGACUUUUGAAAUGCUGAAUUGUAAUGGAGAGCUAAUCUUCUCAUUUUUAUGCAGCAGCUUAGUAUAAAUUACAGACUUAUAUUUCAGUGAGUGGCUGGAACUCCUGCCUGAUAGAAUAAAGGUUUUAAAUUUUUCCUCCUUCUUUCUGGUUGUGACCACCAAUGACACUUUUUUUAUUUGGUAUGUGUUAUAAAAAGCUUGAUGAGCAAUAUUCUGAGUGGUAACUUGAAAAGAGUUCCAUUAAUCUUUAAAUGAGUGUGCUAAUAACACUUCUAAAUAGUGGAACGUGAAGACUAUUUCAAACCUGUUUUGGUUAAUAGUUUUAAAGUCAAACAAAGUAAAACUGCUUUGCCACAGUGUUGAUGUUUACUCAGCAGGAAUUAAUAGGCUUAAAAUAAAUUAAUCUGGCUACAGUGUAGUUCUCUAAACACACAGUUCUCUAAACAUCUUUUAACCUUUGAAAGACAUCAGAGUUUGAGCCUGGCAGUGUAUUGUGCACAUAUAUAACUUUAAGGAAGACUGACUUCAGUGGAAAUGCUUGAAUGAAUAAAGUUGGUUAAACUCAGAAACGUGCUAUCAUAUUUCUUCCAAUUAUAUGUCAUUGCAGGCUUUAAACCAUCAUUUCGAUGUCUGUUGGCCUCACUUUUGAUCUCCUUUUUUGCUAAAUUACUGCAUUUUAAGCGAAUUGAGUCAGAAGUUGAGCAGCGAGGAGACAUCAGCAGCAUGUAUCUUUUCCGAAGACUGAGUAGAAAAAAAUUGAAAUUGUGAUAAAAUAAAUGAUUAGCUAUGUUAAUGGCUUGCCUGGAACCCUGAAAUAGCCACUGGUAAAAUCUGUUAAUGUUCUGUAUCUCAAGAGUGCAUCUGGCACAGGUUUUUUUUCAUAAUGUGAAUUUAGGAAGUUUCGUACCAGGAUCAUUUCUUCUGUUAUAUUUCUCUCAUUUUCAGCUUGAAGCUUUACUUUGCACUGAUGACUCUGACCUGAAAGCAUUUAUAUUUGUGUUGUAAAGCUUGACAAAUUUUGAAACAAAAGAACACCGUAUUCUAAGCAAAUUCAGGUACUACCUGUUGACCUGGAAUUUAGCGCUUUUAGGAAUGACUUCUUGAAAAAGGACUUUAGUAGUUUCCAUUUUGAAGGAUUUUCUUUCAAAUAACUAUUUUAUCUGAAAAUGCCUUUUAUAAACUUGUCUAACAUGUGGCAAACUUAGUGAUGUGUUCAAUUAAUUUAUAUUUUAUUCAACAUUCUUUUUAAAUUUUGGUUUUUAU